rnacentral:misc_RNA from 1 species
AACUUUCGACAAUGGAUCACUUGGUUCCGGCAUCGAUGAAGAACGCAGCGAAAUGCGAUAACUAAUGUGAAUGGAAGAAUUCAGUGAAUCAUGGAGCCUUUGAAGCAACUUUCCGCCCCCUGGUAUUCCGGGGGGCAUGCCUGUCCGAGCGUCAUUGCUGCCCUCAAGCACGGCUUGUGUGUUGGGCUCCGUCCCCCCGGGGACGGGCCCGAAAGGCAGCGGCGGCACCGAGUCCGGUCCUCGAGCGUAUGGGGCUUUGUCACCCGCUCUGUAGGCCCGGCCGGCGCCAGCCGACAACCCAUCAUCCUUUUCAGGUUGACCUCGGAUCAGGUAGGGAUACCCGCUGAACUUAAGCAUAUCAAUAAGCGGAGGCU